rnacentral:rRNA from 1 species
UACGUAAAAGACUAGUGUUAGUCAUCUUUAUUAGGUUUAAAGGGUACCUAGACGGUAAAUUAAACCCUAAAGGGUACUUUUUACUAGAGUUUAUAAGAGAAAGGGAGAAUUUUAGAGUAGAGAUAAAAUUCUUUGAUACUAAAAGGACUGGAUAAGGGCGAAGGCGUGCUUUCUAUGUAAAACUGACGUUGAGGGACGAAGGACUUGGGUAGCAAUAAGG